rnacentral:lncRNA from 1 species
UUAAUCUUCCUUGAUUCAAAUCUAAUUCAUCUUGAUCAAUUGAUCAAGUGAAUGGCUUUGCAUUAAGGAUAGGUUGUUUUCUAAAUCAUGCAAAAGGCUUAAACCAAUACAAGAUCAAUUCUCUUUUUUCAUUUUUGGCAUGACAAGUUGUUGGAACUUGGUUCACUAAUCAAGACUUCUAACUUGUGUUGUUGCCUACAUUAUUAU